rnacentral:piRNA from 1 species
UGGGAUGUGCAAGGUAUUUUCUCGUUCCA